rnacentral:rRNA from 1 species
CGGGGUGCUUACACAUGCAAGUCGAACGAUGAACUGGCGCUUGCGUCCGGGGAUUAGUGGCGAACGGGUGAGUAACACGUGAGUAACCUGCCCUUAACUCUGGGAUAAGCCUGGGAAACUGGGUCUAAUACCGGAUAUUGACUUUUCACCGCAUGGUGUUUUGUUGAAAGCUUUAGUGGUUUUGGAUGGACUCGCGGCCUAUCAGCUUGUUGGUGAGGUAAUGGCUUACCAAGGCGACGACGGGUAGCCGGCCUGAGAGGGUGACCGGCCACACUGGGACUGAGACACGGCCCAGACUCCUACGGGAGGCAGCAGUGGGGAAUAUUGCACAAUGGGCGAAAGCCUGAUGCAGCGACGCCGCGUGAGGGAUGACGGCCUUCGGGUUGUAAACCUCUUUCAGUAGGGAACAAGGCCACACGUUGUGUGGUUGAGGGUACUUGCAGAAGAAGCGCCGGCUAACUACGUGCCAGCAGCCGCGGUAAUACGUAGGGCGCAAGCGUUAUCCGGAAUUAUUGGGCGUAAAGAGCUCGUAGGCGGUUUGUCGCGUCUGCCGUGAAAGUCCGGGGCUCAACUCCGGAUCUGCGGUGGGUACGGGCAGACUAGAGUGAUGUAGGGGAGACUGGAAUUCCUGGUGUAGCGGUGAGAUGCGCAGAUAUCAGGAGGAACACCGAUGGCGAAGGCAGGUCUCUGGGCAUUAACUGACGCUGAGGAGCGAAAGCAUGGGGAGCGAACAGGAUUAUAUACCGCUGGUAGUCCAUGCCGUAAACGUUGGGGCACUAGGUGUGGGGGACAUUCCACGUUUUCCGCGCCGUGCUAACGCAUUAAGUGCCCCGCCUGGGGGAGUACGGGCCGCCACGCUAAGACUCAAAGGAAUUGACGGGUGCCCGCACAAGCGACGGAGCAUGCAGCAUGAAUUCUAUGCAACGCGAAAACCUUACCAACGCUGGACGUCAACUGAAAACAGCCGGCAGACGGGUGCCCGGCUUGCCGCCGGCUUACAGGUGGUGCAGGAUGUCAUCACUCGUGUCGGUGCAUGGUAGAUAGGUGCAGCAGCAACGCACGGUCGUCAUCCUGCUAGCAGCGUGUCGUAGACUCAGUGUGAGACUGACGGGAUCAACUCCAGGUAGGUCAGACGACGUGGAGCGGUCUCGCUCUAAUUCUGGGCUGCCGAUCGGCAUAGCGUCAUCGGUGCGUCCUGAUGUCGACUACUCGAGAGAGGGCGGAUUCGGAU